CAAACAAUAUUCUACCAACAAUGAGCAUCCAUCUGUGUUCUGAGGCAGCACUUAUAAUAGCCCCAGCGAUGAAGAAAAGGGAAGCCAUGAAGAUGGUAGGCCUACGUCCUAAAGCUGAACACGCCUUGGAUGCAAAGAAACUCGAAACCAAAGCUGAUAGAUACAAUGAUGAGGUGAAUAGCUGAAGAAGUUGAUCAUCAUAUUUACAAUAGUUAUUCUCCUUUGCGUGAAGCUUCCUUUCGUAAACAUUUGGGAAAAAUUUAAGCAGGAAAUCAUCCAUACCAGACACUCCACCUGAAAAUACUCAUUCAAAUCAAAAUCCAAAGUCCAAAAUAUCCUUAAAUUAAAAUAAAAAAAUACAUACCUGAAAUACCAAUAUCAUAACCAAACAUAAGCCCUCCAAAGGCAGCAAAGAUCCAACAUGAUACCACAUACACGGUAAUCUUAGAGUUAUUUGGUUGAAUUGUCGACAUUUUUGCCUUUUUUUAUAUAAUUAUUUAUAUUUUCGUUUUUAUAUGAAUAAAAAUUACCCUCCGAGAUAAAAACUGAUUUAU
rnacentral:lncRNA from 1 species